ACCUACGGGGGGCAGCAGUAGGGAAUUUUCGUCAAUGGGCGCAAGCCUGAACGAGCAAUGCCGCGUGAACGAGGAAGGUCUUCGGAUCGUAAAGUUCUGUUGAAGGGGAAAAAGAGCGGAGAGAGGAAAUGCUUUCUGAUUGAUAUUACCCUUCGAGGAAGUCACGGCUAACUACGUGCCAGCAGCCGCGGUAAUACGUAGGUGGCGAGCGUUAUCCGGAAUGAUUGGGCGUAAAGGGUGCGUAGGCGGCCUGCUAAGUCUGGAGUGAAAGGCACCGGCUCAACCGGUACAGGCUCUGGAAACUG
rnacentral:rRNA from 1 species